rnacentral:rRNA from 1 species
AGUGAACGCUGGCGGUAGGCCUAACACAUGCGAGUCGAACGGCAGCACAGUAAGAGCUUGCUCUUACGGGUGGCGAGUGGCGGACGGGUGAGGAAUACAUCGGAAUCUACUUUUUCGUGGGGGAUAACGUAGGGAAACUUACGCUAAUACCGCAUACGACCUACGGGUGAAAGCAGGGGAUCUUCGGACCUUGCGCGAUUGAAUGAGCCGAUGUCGGAUUAGCUAGUUGGCGGGGUAAAGGCCCACCAAGGCGACGAUCCGUAGCUGGUCUGAGAGGAUGAUCAGCCAAACUAGAACUGAGACACGGUCCAGACUCCUACGGGAGGCAGCAGUGGGGAAUAUUGGACAAUGGGCGCAAGCCUGAUCCAGCCAUACCGCGUGGGUGAAGAAGGCCUUCGGGUUGUAAAGCCCUUUUGUUGGGAAAGAAAAGCAGCAGGUUAAUACCCCGCUGUUCUGACGGUACCCAAAGAAUAAGCACCGGCUAACUUCGUG